UUUCCGUAGGUGAACCUGCGGAAGGAUCAUUCAUAAUAAAGUGUUUUAUGGCACUUUUUAAAAAUCCAUAUCCACCUUGUGUGCAAUGUUAAAGCUCGCGUUCAAGACAGGUUCGACUGGUCUCGGGCAGGGUCAUGAUAUAUCAACUCUUUCUUAAACCAAUUUGUCUGAAAAUUAUUAUGAAUACUUAAUUCAAAAUAAAACUUUCAACAACGGAUCUCUUGGCUCUG
rnacentral:misc_RNA from 1 species